rnacentral:rRNA from 1 species
GACGAACGCUGGCGGCGUGCUUAACACAUGCAAGUCGAACGGUAAGGCCCUUUCGGGGGUACACGAGUGGCGAACGGGUGAGUAACACGUGGGUGAUCUGCCCUGCACUUUGGGAUAAGCCUGGGAAACUGGGUCUAAUACCGGAUAGGACUACGCGAUGCAUGUCGUGUGGUGGAAAGCUUUUGCGGUGUGGGAUGGGCCCGCGGCCUAUCAGCUUGUUGGUGGGGUGAUGGCCUACCAAGGCGACGACGGGUAGCCGGCCUGAGAGGGUGUCCGGCCACACUGGGACUGAGAUACGGCCCAGACUCCUACGGGAGGCAGCAGUGGGGAAUAUUGCACAAUGGGCGCAAGCCUGAUGCAGCGACGCCGCGUGGGGGAUGACGGCCUUCGGGUUGUAAACCCCUUUCAGCACAGACGAAGCGUAAGUGACGGUAGGUGCAGAAGAAGCACCGGCCAACUACGUG